rnacentral:rRNA from 1 species
CCUACGGGUGGCAGCAGUGAGGAAUAUUGGUCAAUGGCCGUAAGGCUGAACCAGCCAAGUCGCGUGAAGGAAGAAGGAUCUAUGGUUUGUAAACUUCUUUUAUAGGGGAAUAAAGGUAUCCACGUGUGGAUAUUUGCAUGUACCCUAUGAAUAAGCAUCGGCUAAUUCCGUGCCAGCAGCCGCGGUAAUACGGAAGGUCCGGGCGUUAUCCGGAUUUAUUGGGUUUAAAGGGAGCGUAGGCCGCAUGUCAAGCGGGCUGUGAAAUGUCCGGGCUCAACCCGGGCCUUGCAGCGCGAACUGGAGGGAGUGAGUCCUCAGAGAGCAGGCGGAAUGCGUGGUGGAGCGGUGAAAUGCUUAGAGAUGACGAAGAACCCCGAUUGCGAAGGCAGCUUGCUGCAGCGGAAGUGACGCUGAUGCUCGAAAGCGCGGGUAUCGAACAGGAGUAGAUACCCCUGUAGUC